UACAGCUGUCAUCUAUUCAAGAAAAUGACAAAGUUUCUUGGAGUUAUCGUUACAUUUCUGUUUGCCACCGUCUUGUCAUGCAAUAUGGUGAACGGGGAUUGUUGGUUUAACUAUACCAAGAUUGUAGAUGGAGGCCAUUAUGGGUUCGAGAAGCCAUGCUUUGGGAUCGUCUGUAAUGGCAGUAGACUAGAAAUUGAAGACUGCCCAAAGGAGAAGCCAGACAGCAAUUGCGUACAUCGAGCGCCCGGACCCUGGCCAGAUUGCUGCAAAUUCGGUUAUGCUUGCUAAUCCAAGUAUACGAAGAACCCUUGAAUAAAGUAUUUUUUACCUUUA